GGACAAGAGAAGAAAAACAGAUGGAGAGAGAGAGAGAGACAGAGUGAGAGAGAGAUUUAUAAUCACUUUUUAAAAACAAUUAUUUUAACAAUUAACACAAACCUUUAUAGUACUCUAAAAAUAAUAAUAAUAAUAGCCUAAUAAUCCUCAUUAACUACAUAACACCACCCAACAUCACAACACCAUUCAAUCUAAAAACUUUCAAUUAAUCAAUUUGAAUAAUUAAAAUCAACAAUAAUUCUUGCUUUAAUCACAUGUUUGAGAGAGAGAGAGAGAGAGAGAGAGAGAGAGAGAUUCUGUGUGGCUGUCCAGCGUCACACCAGAUUUACACAAGGACAAAAAAAGUUGGGUUAACGACAGGGAAAAAAAAACUACACCCUCCCUCUCUUACUCCAGAGGAGUGUGUGUGUGUGUGUGUGCGUGCGUGUGUGUGUGUCAGAGUAGAGAACGAGUCUGAAGGAGCGAGGAAAAGUUCGCCAAGCAGCUCCGCGGAUCUGGUGUUUGUUUCUGUUUCUUUCACAAACCUGACGCAGAAGAACGAAGCCGUGAGCAGAGAAUGACGACUGCAUCUGUGAGCAGAUUGUGUGCAUUUUGGUGUUGUGUGUUUGCUGUCCUGUCCUUAACAAAAGCUGAGGAAGCAGAGAAACCGGCGACCGGACGAAAGUCUCGUCAAGCAGAAGAGGAGGCGCUUGAAGGAGUGUGGGGUCCAUGGAGCGAGUGGACGGAGUGUUCUCAGAGCUGUGGAGUGGGCGUGUCUGAGAGGCGGAGACAGUGUAUGCCCCCACCCCAAACUCCACCUCUUAUGUGGAACCGACCGGCUUACAUUCCACCAGGUGUCCCAAACAACACCCCUGUGAUCUCUGCGGUCAGGCCCUACUACAACUCCUUGUAUCCCGUCAACGAGCCCCCUCCAUUUGGAGCAGGGGGCGCUGAGAGGCCUCCAUACUUUUCCCCGCCUCUCCCAGCCAAUCCAAAUCCCGGAUUACCGCUCUACCGAAACGAAGCCGGUGGUGCUGGGUCAGUGCAGUUUGGCCCACCCAAUCAGGAGCCGGUUUCAGUCUACCGUUCACCUUCCUCAUCCGCUUCACUUCCUUACGGGAGAGUUCCCGCACGGUCGCCCAAUCACGGCAGAGCUGUAGGCAGUGGGAGCAGGAGGUCGGUUUCCACCAAUAGGGAUCCAGCAUCUGUAAGAAGGUCUAGUUCUUCUAUUCGUCCCGGACAGUUUGGGUAUGGCAGGGUGCCGUUCUCUCUUCCCUUACACAGACAAAACCGUCAGGCUCGCCACACACGCCGCCACAACACCACCACCAUAGACAGUCUGGAUGCUCUCAGUGUGAACUCCAGCGCACAUGUGCAUAAAGCACAAGAAGAAAUAGAACAAAUGAUCACAGACACUGUUAACAAAGAAAGAAAGGAGAAGGAAAAGGAGACGGAGGCAGCAGACGUGGAGAGUGAUGUGGCAGCCGAGAAAACAAGUGAUGGAGAGACGCACAGACGUGUGGAGAGAAUGCGGGAACAAGAGCGAAUCACACAUUCACAGCCCCUGACCCAGAGACACGUGGCCCACAACAGACGCAUCGAUGGACGCUCUUCUCGCCAAGUCCCACACUCCUACACACACACUAUCCAGCGAUCGCACACUCCCAGAGAGCCUCCUCCCUACGGCCUCCAGACUCCCACAAACCCCAACCCCGAGCCCUGGGUCCUGCAGAACGCUGCUCAGCCUUCCAGAAAUGAAGCCGGUAGUCCAGCAUCGGCCCACAACUACAGAUGCUCUGGACGGGACACAGAGUAUCGCAGGUGCAGCCUACAGAAUUUCAUGGCUCCUGUUUUUCAUCAGAAGUCCUCAUUUGCUUGAAACACAAGCAGAACACAUUUCUGUGUAAACUGUCACAUGAUGAAGAAUGUCUUGUUGUAAUGUAACAUCUUGCAUCAUACGACAAUUUACGUAGUAAAAACAAAGAAACGCUGAAAAAGUGUUGGUUUUCACAAAUGAGGCCCAGUGAAAUUCAAUGUAUACUGGGGCUGUAACACUGUAAAAAAUAUAAAUUAAAAAGCAUUAUAACAUACAACUUGUGUGUUGUACUGUCUGUGUGAGGAAAAAACUAAACUGUAAAUGAAAAUGUGCUCUCCCUCAGGCCAUCUGAGAUGUAGAUGAGUUUGUUUCUUCAUUAGGUUUGGAGAAAUGUGUCAUUCAGCAAUGGAUGCUCUGCAGUGAAUGGGUGCCAUCAGAAUGAGAGUCCAAACAGCUGGAGAAGACAAAAGCUGAAACUAAUCCAGCAUAAAGACGUUUUUAACUAAAAUAUGAGUCCAUAAUCCAUAAUAACACUUCCUCCAGUGAAAAAGUGAUCUGAAUCAGGCGAGAAAUCUGCACAGAUCAAGCACCGUAUACAGUCCAAAACACCUCUAAACUAAUUUAUGGCUGGAUUUUGAUGUGAGAGACAUCAGGAGAUGGACUUUUUCACUGGAGGAAGCGUUAUUAUGGAUUAUGAACUCUUAUGUUAGUUAAAAAACAACUUAAUGCUUGAUUUGUUUCAGCUUUUGUGAACUAAUGUGAACUGAUGGACUGGAGUGGUGUGGAUUACUUGUGGAUUAUUGUGAUGUUUUUAUCAGCUGUUUGGAAUCUAAUUCUGACGGCACACAUUCACUGCAGAGCAUCCAUUGAUGAGACACUGAUGCAGUGCUACAUUUCUCCAAACCUGAUGAAGAAACACACUCACCUACAUCUCAGAUGGCCUGAGGGAGAGCACAUUUUCAGCAUUUUUUCAUUUAUGGGUAAAAUAUUCCUUUAAACUACUCUUUAGAUUCACUAAAAAAAGAGCAACAUCAACAUUCUUUUAAACAUCUCUGGUUUUGGGCGACAUGACAGUGGGUAAAUUAAAUUAAAGGAAUUAUAUGCAUUUUGGGGUGAACUCGUCCUUUAACAACAGUUCAGAUAUGACCAGAGUGUUCAUUUCAUGUGAUGCAUCCCUGUCCAAUCAGUGUCCUCAUGCUGAAGGUGAUGUUUUCAAAUUGAAAUACAUUACAGAUGCUGCUAAAUUCCUCAGUUUUAAAGCGUUUGAGAGAGUUUCCUUUGUGGGGAUUUAAAGACUUUAGGCCAUAAUGCUGAUACGGGACAAUAUAUCGGGAAUUUGGCAGGAAAUGAGCUCAAAUCUCCGCUGGGACUGAGAUCGGACAGCUGUCUAUCACCUGUGCAAACCAACUACCGCAGAUGACUCAGUUGUGUUUACAUUGCAUUUCACAAAAUGUUUACCCAAAUUAUUUACUUUAAAUAGCACAUUAGAUAAACUUGAGUUUCAGAAUAAUAAUGUUUGUUUGUAAUGGAUAUUUUCCUGAGAUAUUCUCUCUUUCCCUCAUUUCCUUCCCCAUUCUCCUCGAGGGAGGCCUAUAACAUUCAUGUUUAUUUGUCUAUAACUCUAAGCAUUUGUUCUCUUCAGGUAGAGUUUGUAAAGACCUGCUGUUUUACAGAUGCUCUGCCCUUCCCUCCUCUUCUCUUUUCCUUAUCUGAAUCUUCUCUCUUUUUGUGCGCUUUCUCCUAGCUUGGACUAAUCUUGUGUCACACACACACACACACACACACACACACACACACACACAUCCAUGCAGGAUUUAAUGGGCAUUAACUUUAAACGCACAGACACAAACUCAGAGACACAUAUCAUGAACCACAUAUUAAAAACACAUGUAUGUUACAUCACCACACACACACACACACACACACACACACUCACACACACUUGGACACAAAGACAGAAGUGUAUAGCCCACAUUCUUUCUGUGCUGCACAAAUGAACCCCACAUGCUCAAACCCUCUUUCUUAUACACACAGGGCUUGUGUGUAAUCUAGUUAGUGGCAUUUGCUUAGUCAAGCAUCACUACUACUAUUAGUAUUGCUCUUAUUUCUAUACCACUCAAGCCUUUUAGGCUAAGAAUUUUAUCUCUACAUCUAAAACAGCUUUUAGAACAGUUUUAAACAGUAUUUAACUCUAUAAAGCUUAUAUAUGACAUGCACAUUUUUUUUUUAUUUUUAUAAAGUAGAUGUAAGAAUGACUUGUUUGUUUGUAAUAUUUCAAGAUGAACACUUACUGGAGUGGAGCAGCAUUGCUUUACUUGAUUAUAAAUUCAUAAUUUUUUUUGAAAAAUCAUGUUCAAAUUUGGGCUUUUGAGGAAUGUUAAUUUUUUCAUGAUUUGAUCUUGAUUGCAUUGCAAUAUAUGUUUUGUAUAUGUUGGAGAUAUAGAGUGACAACCGUUAUUUCAAUCAUUUUAUGCAAAUAUCUGUUAUACUGUUAUAAAGAUCUGAGUGAUUUACAUCACACCUAUCAGAAUUUCAUUAUAUAAAUAGCCUAUCAGCAUCUGCACCAAACUGCAUAUUUUAGAGAUGUUUUCUCCACCACAUUCUCACUAUUUCAGACAAUAUGAGCCAUAAAAGAGUAAUGAAAAAAGAUGCAAACUAAUUUUCAUGUUUUGUCUAAACUGUCUAAACUAAAAGACUCUUACUUAAGGUGUCAGGCUUUAAAGGGUUAAAAUACUUUAAAAAUGUGUCCGUCCCACUGGAGGACCAUUUAAAUUAACUCUUCAAAAUUUAAAAAUGUAAUUAAACGUUGCGCAAAAGUUUAAAGAAACAGUGACCAGUUACAUGGCCCAAGAUGUUCACUUUAACCUAUGCUUAUAUCAGUUUUUACCUAAAAAGCUCCUGGAUCUGUUAUGCAUCAACUUUUACAAACGCACAUGGAGAAGCACACAGGAAUGUCUUUGUGGGCACAUUUCAUCUGUGUCUAUUCAGGUGUUUUCAGUUUCUUGUUUUCUCAAGCACCUCUCUUGUAGAGUGUGUGUGCAUGUUUCAGCAUGCUGCUUUGUUAAAUGUGUUUACACUGACCAACUGCUUUUGUCAGCUGGACACAGAGAAAAAUAAAAGAAUGUGGUAUUCACA
ensembl:lncRNA